UUCUGUUAAGCUCGGCCAUAUUGUGUAAGUGUUUGUCACAUGCGAAUUGCAUCAGUAUUGAAAAUAAAAACCAGAAAUACAAACGAUAAACAGAUCAGCAUCGGCCUACUUAAGCUUGGGUUGAUAACACUCCUCGGUGGAUAUUUUGUCUCACAUUCCUAUCUGCAAAAGAACCAACCGAUGAACCCAAAGCCACCAUGGGUCAGACGAAUGGCAACGGUUGGCCACAGAAUGGUGCCAUCUCCACCAAUGGCCACAUGCCAACACACCUCAAGGGGGCCAACGCUGCCGUGCUGUCGACCAGCUUCUCCUCGCCAUGGGGACUGCUGGCCUUGGCUACCUCCACUGAAAACGGGCUGUCAUCAUGGCCAGCUUUUCAGGAGGCGGAGGAGACCCGGCGGCGUUCAGCCCAUUAGAUGUGCGGUUCACUACACCUGACGGGAAGCCCCAGCAACUGCGUGUCCCACCGGCCCUCCUGGGAGGCCAUGGCCAGCGACCUGAGGGACACCCUGCACUACGGACACUACCAUGGCUUCGGGGACACGGCAGAGGACCUGGCUGAGGAGCACAGCAGCUUGGUGCACGUCGAGCAGCUUUACGACCAGGCCGUGCUCAGUACCUUGCACCUCUACCACGGAUCCUAAAUAGGGGGAGGCUGGCCCUUCCCAAGUAAGUAGUCUGUCUAUCUACCUGCCCCGGCGGUGGCACAACUUUGCCUACAGCCGCUAGCCUGCCUUAAAACUCAAUGGUUACCAUAACAUCGUUGUUGCACUGGGGAUGGAGAGAAGAGUCACUUUGGCCCAUCUACCAAAGGGAACAAAUAGCAUUGUUGUUUUUGUAUUUGAUAUUUGAAAUCCUUAGUCUAUUAUUGUCUGUGUUGUAGCACAACAGAUGUGAUUGUGGUAAGCUGAUCAUAGUUUGUCUGGUGAUGGUAUUGCAUACAAUGCAUUAGUUUGUUUCUCAAAGGUGCGGGUUAUUAGAAUUAUGAGUUAUGAUAAGAUGGCGAUGCCAGAUUUUUGUGUUAGACAGAAAGCGUAAAUGACUUGUGUUUGGCAUGUAGGUUCUGUGCCAACAAUUAUGUUAAAUCUAUUAAGGCACAAACAAAACCCCCAAAAAAUUUUUUUACUGAGUUUGUUUUUACCUUGUUGUUCCUUGUCUAUACUUGGAGCACUACAAACAGUAUUUCUCAUGAAGACAAUCUAUAAACUGACUUAUCGCAGUCCUUUUUACAUUCAUUUUUUGGGGUCUUCUGAAAUAAAAAUUUGAUCAAAUUGCA